rnacentral:rRNA from 1 species
UACGAAGGGGGCUAGCGUUGUUCGGAUUUACUGGGCGUAAAGCGCACGUAGGCGGAUUGGUCAGUUAGGGGUGAAAUCCUGGAGCUCAACUCCAGAACUGCCUUUAAUACUGCCAGUCUCGAGUCCGGAAGAGGUAAGUGGAACUCCUAGUGUAGAGGUGGAAUUCGUAGAUAUUAGGAAGAACACCAGUGGCGAAGGCGGCUUACUGGUCCGGUUCUGACGCUGAGGCGCGAAAGCGUGGGGAGCAAACAGG